CAGUCGAACGGAGCACCCCUGACGGAGUUUUCGGACAACUGAAGGGACUGCUCUAUUGGCGGACGGGUGAGUAACGCGUGAGCAACCUACCUUGGAGUGGGGAAUAACAGCUGGAAACAGCUGCUAAUACCGCAUGAUAUGUCUGUAUCACAUGGUACUGGACAUCAAAGAUCUAUCGCUCUGAGAUGGGCUCGCGUCUGAUUAGCUAGUUGGUGAGGUAACGGCCCACCAAGGCGACGAUCAGUAGCCGGACUGAGAGGUUGGCCGGCCACAUUGGGACUGAGACACGGCCCAGACUCCUACGGGAGGCAGCAGUGGGGAAUAUUGGGCAAUGGGCGCAAGCCUGACCCAGCAACGCCGCGUGAAGGAAGAAGGCUCUCGGGUUGUAAACUUCUUUUAUCGGGGACGAAGCAAGUGACGGUACCUGAUGAAUAAGCCACGGCUAACUACGUGCCAGCAGCCGCGGUAAUACGUAGGUGGCAAGCGUUAUCCGGAUUUACUGGGUGUAAAGGGCGUGUAGGCGGGAAAGCAAGUCAGAUGUGAAAACCAUGGGCUCAACCUGUGGCCUGCAUUUGAAACUGUUUUUCUUGAGUACUGGAGAGGCAGACGGAAUUCCUAGUGUAGC
rnacentral:rRNA from 1 species